GGAGAGGUCGCCUAGUGGUCUAUGGCGCAUGCUUGGAAAGCAUGUUAACCGAAAGGUUUCGAGGGUUCAAAUCCCUCUCUCUCCG
rnacentral:tRNA from 1 species